GAUGAACGCUGGCGGCGUGCCUAAUACAUGCAAGUCGAGCGAACAUACGAGGAGCGUGCUCCUCUGACGUUAGCGGCGGACGGGUGAGUAACACGUGGAUAACCUACCUAUAAGACUGGGAUAACUUCGGGAAACCUUAGCUAAUACCGGAUAAUAUAUUGAACCGCAUGGUUCAAUAGUGAAAGACGGUUUUGCUGUCACUUAUAGAUGGAUCCGCGCCGCAUUAGCUAGUUGGUAAGGUAACGGCUUACCAAGGCGACGAUGCGUAGCCGGCCUGAGAGGGUGAUCGGCCACACUGGAACUGAGACACGGUCCAGACUCCUACGGGAGGCAGCAGUAGGGAAUCUUCCGCAAUGGGCGAAAGCCUGACGGAGCAACGCCGCGUGAGUGAUGAAGGUCUUCGGAUCGUAAAACUCUGUUAUUAGGGAAGAACAAAUGUGUACGUAACUAUGCAUGUCUUGACGGUACCUAAUCAGAAAGCCACGGCUAACUACGUG
rnacentral:rRNA from 1 species